rnacentral:tRNA from 1 species
UGGGCGAUUAGCUCAGCUGGUAGAGCGCUUCGUUUACACCGAAGAUGUCGGGAGUUCGAGUCUCUCAUCGCCCACCAU